rnacentral:rRNA from 1 species
CAUGUAGGCGGCUUAAUAAGUCGAGCGUGAAAAUGCGGGGCUCAACCCCGUAUGGCGCUGGAAACUGUUAGGCUUGAGUGCAGGAGAGGAAAGGGGAAUUCCCAGUGUAGCGGUGAAAUGCGUAGAUAUUGGGAGGAACACCAGUGACGAAGGCGCCUUUCUGGACUGUGUCUGACGCUGAGAUGCGAAAGCCAGGGUAGCAACG